CCUACGGGUGGCAGCAGUCGAGAAUCAUUCACAAUGGGGGAAACCCUGAUGCUGCGACGCCGCGUGGGGGAAUGAAGGUCUUCGGAUUGUAAACCCCUGUCAUGUGGGAGCAAAUUAAAAAGAUAGUACAACAAGAGGAAGAGACGGCCAACUCUGUGCCAGCAGCCGCGGUAAUACAGAGGUCUCAAGCGUUGUUCGGAAUCACUGGGCGUAAAGCGUGCGUAGGCUGUUUCGUAAGUCGUGUGUGAAAGGCGAGGGCUCAACCCGCGGACGGCACAUGAUACUGCUAGACUAGAGUAAUGGAGGGGGAACCGGAAUUCUCGGUGUAGCAGUGAAAUGCGUAGAUAUCGAGAGGAACACUCGUGGCGAAGGCGGGUUCCUGGACAUUAACUGACGCUGAGGCACGAAGGCCAGGGGAGCGAAAGGGAUUAGAUACCCCAGUAGUC
rnacentral:rRNA from 1 species